GGGUUGUGAGGUUAAGCGACUAAGCGUACACGGUGGAUGCCCUGGCAGUCAGAGGCGAUGAAGGACGUGCUAAUCUGCGAUAAGCGUCGGUAAGGUGAUAUGAACCGUUAUAACCGGCGAUUUCCGAAUGGGGAAACCCAGUGUGUUUCGACACACUAUCAUUAACUGAAUCCAUAGGUUAAUGAGGCGAACCGGGGGAACUGAAACAUCUAAGUACCCCGAGGAAAAGAAAUCAACCGAGAUUCCCCCAGUAGCGGCGAGCGAACGGGGAGCAGCCCAGAGCCUGAAUCAGUGUGUGUGUUAGUGGAAGCGUCUGGAAAGGCGCGCGAUACAGGGUGACAGCCCCGUACACAAAAAUGCACAUGCUGUGAGCUCGAUGAGUAGGGCGGGACACGUGGUAUCCUGUCUGAAUAUGGGGGGACCAUCCUCCAAGGCUAAAUACUCCUGACUGACCGAUAGUGAACCAGUACCGUGAGGGAAAGGCGAAAAGAACCCCGGCGAGGGGAGUGAAAAAGAACCUGAAACCGUGUACGUACAAGCAGUGGGAGCACGCUUAGGCGUGUGACUGCGUACCUUUUGUAUAAUGGGUCAGCGACUUAUAUUCUGUAGCAAGGUUAACCGAAUAGGGGAGCCGAAGGGAAACCGAGUCUUAACUGGGCGUUAAGUUGCAGGGUAUAGACCCGAAACCCGGUGAUCUAGCCAUGGGCAGGUUGAAGGUUGGGUAACACUAACUGGAGGACCGAACCGACUAAUGUUGAAAAAUUAGCGGAUGACUUGUGGCUGGGGGUGAAAGGCCAAUCAAACCGGGAGAUAGCUGGUUCUCCCCGAAAGCUAUUUAGGUAGCGCCUCGUGAAUUCAUCUCCGGGGGUAGAGCACUGUUUCGGCAAGGGGGUCAUCCCGACUUACCAACCCGAUGCAAACUGCGAAUACCGGAGAAUGUUAUCACGGGAGACACACGGCGGGUGCUAACGUCCGUCGUGAAGAGGGAAACAACCCAGACCGCCAGCUAAGGUCCCAAAGUCAUGGUUAAGUGGGAAACGAUGUGGGAAGGCCCAGACAGCCAGGAUGUUGGCUUAGAAGCAGCCAUCAUUUAAAGAAAGCGUAAUAGCUCACUGGUCGAGUCGGCCUGCGCGGAAGAUGUAACGGGGCUAAACCAUGCACCGAAGCUGCGGCAGCGACGCUUAUGCGUUGUUGGGUAGGGGAGCGUUCUGUAAGCCUGCGAAGGUGUGCUGUGAGGCAUGCUGGAGGUAUCAGAAGUGCGAAUGCUGACAUAAGUAACGAUAAAGCGGGUGAAAAGCCCGCUCGCCGGAAGACCAAGGGUUCCUGUCCAACGUUAAUCGGGGCAGGGUGAGUCGACCCCUAAGGCGAGGCCGAAAGGCGUAGUCGAUGGGAAACAGGUUAAUAUUCCUGUACUUGGUGUUACUGCGAAGGGGGGACGGAGAAGGCUAUGUUGGCCGGGCGACGGUUGUCCCGGUUUAAGCGUGUAGGCUGGUUUUCCAGGCAAAUCCGGAAAAUCAAGGCUGAGGCGUGAUGACGAGGCACUACGGUGCUGAAGCAACAAAUGCCCUGCUUCCAGGAAAAGCCUCUAAGCAUCAGGUAACAUCAAAUCGUACCCCAAACCGACACAGGUGGUCAGGUAGAGAAUACCAAGGCGCUUGAGAGAACUCGGGUGAAGGAACUAGGCAAAAUGGUGCCGUAACUUCGGGAGAAGGCACGCUGAUAUGUAGGUGAAGUCCCUCGCGGAUGGAGCUGAAAUCAGUCGAAGAUACCAGCUGGCUGCAACUGUUUAUUAAAAACACAGCACUGUGCAAACACGAAAGUGGACGUAUACGGUGUGACGCCUGCCCGGUGCCGGAAGGUUAAUUGAUGGGGUUAGCGCAAGCGAAGCUCUUGAUCGAAGCCCCGGUAAACGGCGGCCGUAACUAUAACGGUCCUAAGGUAGCGAAAUUCCUUGUCGGGUAAGUUCCGACCUGCACGAAUGGCGUAAUGAUGGCCAGGCUGUCUCCACCCGAGACUCAGUGAAAUUGAACUCGCUGUGAAGAUGCAGUGUACCCGCGGCAAGACGGAAAGACCCCGUGAACCUUUACUAUAGCUUGACACUGAACAUUGAGCCUUGAUGUGUAGGAUAGGUGGGAGGCUUUGAAGUGUGGACGCCAGUCUGCAUGGAGCCGACCUUGAAAUACCACCCUUUAAUGUUUGAUGUUCUAACGUUGACCCGUAAUCCGGGUUGCGGACAGUGUCUGGUGGGUAGUUUGACUGGGGCGGUCUCCUCCUAAAGAGUAACGGAGGAGCACGAAGGUUGGCUAAUCCUGGUCGGACAUCAGGAGGUUAGUGCAAUGGCAUAAGCCAGCUUGACUGCGAGCGUGACGGCGCGAGCAGGUGCGAAAGCAGGUCAUAGUGAUCCGGUGGUUCUGAAUGGAAGGGCCAUCGCUCAACGGAUAAAAGGUACUCCGGGGAUAACAGGCUGAUACCGCCCAAGAGUUCAUAUCGACGGCGGUGUUUGGCACCUCGAUGUCGGCUCAUCACAUCCUGGGGCUGAAGUAGGUCCCAAGGGUAUGGCUGUUCGCCAUUUAAAGUGGUACGCGAGCUGGGUUUAGAACGUCGUGAGACAGUUCGGUCCCUAUCUGCCGUGGGCGCUGGAGAACUGAGGGGGGCUGCUCCUAGUACGAGAGGACCGGAGUGGACGCAUCACUGGUGUUCGGGUUGUCAUGCCAAUGGCACUGCCCGGUAGCUAAAUGCGGAAGAGAUAAGUGCUGAAAGCAUCUAAGCACGAAACUUGCCCCGAGAUGAGUUCUCCCUGACCCUUUAAGGGUCCUGAAGGAACGUUGAAGACGACGACGUUGAUAGGCCGGGUGUGUAAGCGCAGCGAUGCGUUGAGCUAACCGGUACUAAUGAACCGUGAGGCUUAACCUUACAACGCCGAAGGUGUUU
rnacentral:rRNA from 1 species